CAUUUACCCAUUUAAAGUGCUGUGUGACUUCCUUUGAGAACCCCCUGACAUCUGUGAUCAGAAAUGGGUUCUGAAUGAACAUGGUGAGCUGCUCUCCAAAGCUGAAGCUGUCAAAACGGUUGCUGAAGUUUACAAUCAGCUUAUCAAUAAAAUCAACAAAAGAAGACAAAUCUCUCUGUCCCUGAACCUGUUCCUGCACUGCUGGGAAGUGUACACAGUCUCCCUGCAGGUCUUCCUUGAACACUUCAAGUUUCCUCUGAAAGGAGCGAACAGCUGUCAUCAGUUCACAAAUUGAAUUGUCCUUGCCCUGUAGCCUCAAAUUCAGUUCAUUCAGAUGUGACGUGAUGUCAACCAAAAAGGCCACAUUAUCCAUCCAUUUCUCAUUUUCUAAAAAGAGAGAAAACUGUGUUGCCUUCUGACUGCUUAGCUCUGCCAAAAAAGAUGCUAAUUCCCUCCUGAUGGACCAAAAGCGCUCUAGCACCCUGCCUUUGCUGAGCCAUCUCACAUUGUUGUGCAGCAAAAGAUCAUCAGCAUUGGCAUCAACUUCUCUGAGGAAUUCCCUAAGCAUGCGAUGCUGGUAGGAAGAGGAUGCCCUGAGAAAAUUUAUCAUUUUCAUCAUUGUAUUCAUCACCUCAGCAUGCUCAUCUGACAGGGAGGCACAGAGGACAGAUUGAUGAAUGAUGCAAUGGUAAGAUAAAAGCUCAGGAUUGUCCCCUUUCAGUCUUGCUACAGCUCCUUUUUCUUUCCCUAUCAUAGAAGGGGCUCCAUCUGUGGUUAUUGAAACCACUUGUUUUGGCUCUAUUCCUCUUUUUGUUAACAUCUCCUUAAUGGCCAGGUAGAUAUCCUCUCCUCUUGUACUGGUCUGAAGGGGAGUGACACCUAACAUGUCUUCACAGAAUGUUUUCUGGGCUGUGUUGAAAAACCUGGCAAACACUAACAGCUGAGCAUUGUCACAUAUGUCAGUGGACUCAUCCACAGCUAAGCCUACACAUGGUGCCUUAUGCAUGGCUUCAUCUAGCUGGGUUAGCACAUCCUGAGUUAAUAUUUCACUUUUCUUUGUGGCAGAUGAUGCUGACAUGGGAAUUUGCUUUAUUUUAUCACAAAGCUCAUUUUUUUGUUUUCCCUCAAGUAGUGUUUCAGCUACUGCACUCAUGCAUUCUUUGACAACCCCUCCAUCUGUAAAUGGCUUUUUGUGUUUACCCAAAAUCCAAGAAACUCUGAGGGAACACUCAAGAGCACGUUGUUGGGCAGUGAAUGUGUUGCUCAGGAUCCUGGUGGACUGAAAUGAGUCUGUCCAUUCUGGAUUAAAUGCUCUGUUUUCAUUGUCCACUUUUCUUUUUUUGGAGAGUGCCAUUUGUUCCUUAUUUUCUCUAACUGUUACCCUUUUUCUGCCUCACUCGUCUGUUUCGCUCCCUUUCUCCGUCUCACUCAUAUUUUCGUCAACUUUCUCCGUCUCACUCGUAUUUUCCUCAGCUUUCUCCGGCACACUCGUCUGUAUCUCUCC